UACGGAGGGUGCAAGCGUUAUCCGGAUUCAUUGGGUUUAAAGGGUUCGUAGGCGGUGCGGCAAGUUGGGAGUGAAAUCUCUGGGCUUAACCCAGAGGCUGCUUCCAAAACUGCCGUGCUAGAGUGCGAGAGAGGCCAGUGGAAUUGCAGGUGUAGCGGUGAAAUGCGUAGAUAUCUGCAGGAACACCCGUGGCGAAGGCGGCUGGCUGGAUCGCAACUGACGCUGAGGAACGAAAGCUAGGGGAGCAAACAGG
rnacentral:rRNA from 1 species